rnacentral:rRNA from 1 species
GAAACGAUGGCUAAGACUGGAUAGGAAGAAAUAAGGCAUCUUUUUUCUUUUAAAGACCUAGUGAUAGGUAUACUUUAGGAGGGGCUUGCGCCAUAUUAGUUAGUUGGUAGGGUAAUGGCCUACCAAGACGAUGAUGUGUAGCUGGACUGAGAGGUUGAACAGCCACAUUGGGACUGAGACACGGCCCAAACUCCUACGGGAGGCAGCAGUAGGGAAUUUUCGGCAAUGGAGGAAACUCUGACCGAGCAACGCCGGCGUGAACGACGAAGUACUUUGGUAUGUAAAGUUCUUUUAUCAAGGAAGAAAAGCAAGUGGUGAACCAUUUGUUUGCCGGUACUUGAUGAAUAAGCCCCGGCUAAUUAUGUGCCAGCAGCCGCGGUAAGACAUAAGGGGCAAGUGUUAUCCGGAAUUAUUGGGCGUAAAGGGUGCGUAGGCGGUCUAGUAAGUCAGUGGUGUAAUGGCAACGCUCAACGUUGUCCGGCUAUUGAAACUGCUAAACUUGAGUUAGAUAGAGGCGAGUGGAAUUCCAUGUGUAGCGUAAAAUGCGUAAAUAUAUGGAGGAACACCAGAGGCGUAGGCGGCUCGCUGGGUCUUAACUGACGCUGAGGCACGAAAGCGUGGGGAGCAAACAGGAUUAGAUACCCUGGUAGUCCACGCCGUAAACGAUGAGUACUAAGUGUCGGGUUAAACCGGUACUGAAGUUAACACAUUAAGUACUCCGCCUGAGUAGUACGUACGCAAGUAUGAAACUUAAAGGAAUUGACGGGACUCGCACAAGCGGUGGAUCAUGUUGUUUAAUUCGAAGAUACCCGAAAAACCUUACCAGGUCUUGACAUGUUUUUGCGAAACGGUAGUAAUAUCGUGGAGGUUAUCAGAAACACAGGUGGUGCAUGGUUGUCGUCAGCUCGUGUCGUGAGAUGUUAGGUUAAGUCCUAAAACGAGGCGAAACCCUUAUCGUUAGUUGCCAGCACGUUAUGGUGGGGACUUUAACGAGACUGCCAGUGAUAAAUUGGAGGAAGGUGAGGAUCACGUCAAAUCAGCAUGCCCCUUAUGACCUGGGCUACAAACGUGAUACAAUGGCUGUUACAAAGGGUAGCUGAAACGCAAGUUCUUGGCCAAUCCCCAAAAACAGUCUCAGUCCGGAUUGAAGUCUGCAACUCGACUUCAUGAAGUGGAAUCGCUAGUAAUCGCGAAUCAGCACGUCGCGGUGAAUACGUUCUCGGGGUUUGUACACACCGCCCGUCA